AUACGUAGGGUGCGAGCGUUAAUCGGAAUUACUGGGCGUAAAGCGUGCGCAGGCGGCUUUGCAAGACAGAGGUGAAAUCCCCGGGCUCAACCUGGGAACUGCCUUUGUGACUGCAAGGCUAGAGUACGGCAGAGGGGGAUGGAAUUCCGCGUGUAGCAGUGAAAUGCGUAGAUAUGCGGAGGAACACCAAUGGCGAAGGCAAUCCCCUGGGCCUGUUCUGACGUUCAUGCACGAAAGCGUGGGGAGCAAACAGGAUUAGAUACCCUAGUAGUCC
rnacentral:rRNA from 1 species